CCAAUAGCGUAUACUAAAGUUGUUGCAGUUAAAAAGCUCGUAGUUGAAUUUCGGGGUCAGCAGGUUGGUCGUGCCACUGGUAUGCACUGGCCUCGCUGACUCCUCCCUCUUGUAGAACCGUAAUACCAUUAAGUUGGUGUUGCGGGGAAACAGGACUGUUACUGUGAAAAAAUUAGAGUGUUUAAAGCAGGCUAACGCUUGAAUACAUUAGAAUGGAAUAAUGAAAUAGGACGAUCGAUCCUAUUUUGUUGGUUUCUAGGGUUGACGUAAUGAUUAAUAGGGAUAGUUGGGGGCAUUAGUAUUCAAUUGUCAGAGGUGAAAUUCUUGGAUUUAUUGAAGACUAACUACUGCGAAAGCAUUUGCCAAGGAUGUUUUCAUUAAUCAAGAACGAAAGUUAGGGGAUCGAAGACGAUCAGAUACCGUCGUAGUCUUAACCAUAAACUAUGCCGACUAGGGAUCGGAUGAUGUUAAUUUUUUAAUGACUCAUUCGGCGCCUUACG
rnacentral:rRNA from 1 species